rnacentral:rRNA from 1 species
AAGCGGCUGUGGAGUUUACAGAAGUGAGAAUGCCGGAAUGAGUAGCGCGAAUGUGGUGAGAAUCCACAUGGCCGGAAACCUCAGGUUUUUGGAGGAAGGUUCGUCCGCUCCAAGUUAGGCGGGAGCUAAGGUCAGGCCGAAAGGCGUAGCCGAUGCAUAGACGGUAGAGAUUCCGUCCCCACCGAAAGAUUUAAGCACAGGGACACUUUUUGAAGGUCGGAGCCAGGUGUUGGUUCUGGUAGUGAUCGAGGGAAAUAUAGUACCGAAGUCCGGCUGGAAGAGAGGCGAGAAAAGCUGUGUGUAUAUCUAAGGUGCCCGUACCGCAAACCGACACAGGUAGGUAGGAAGAAGAUUCUAAGGCCAACGGGAGAAGGGUUGUUAAGGAACUCGGCAAGUUGACCCCGUAACUUCGGAAUAAGGGGUGCUCACGAGAGUGAGCCGCAGAGAAUAGGCCCAGGCAACUGUUUACCAAAAACACAGGUUUGUGCUAAAUCGAAAGAUGACGUAUACGAGCUGACGCCUGCCCGGUGCUGGAAGGUUAAAAGGAGAUGUGCAAGCAUUGAAUUGAAGCCCCAGUGAACGGCGGCCGUAACAAUAACGGUCCUAAGGUAGCGAAAUUCCUUGUCAGGUAAGUUCUGACUCGCAUGAAAGGCGUAAUGAUCUGGGCACUGUCUCAACAGCCCGCCCGGCGAAAUUGUAGUACCGGUGAAGAUGCCGGUUACCCGCGACAAGACGGAAAGACCCCAUGGAGCUUUACUGUAGCCUGAUAUUGGGUUUCGGUGUUGCAUGCACAGGAUAGAUGGGACGCUAGGAAAGAAGCGCUUUGGCGUUUCUGGAGCGGACGUUGGGAUACCAUCCUUGCGACAUUGGAAUUCUAACCUGCGCCUCUGAAUCGAGGCGGGGGACAUUGUCAGGUGGGCAGUUUGACUGGGGCGGUCGCCUCCUAAAAAGUAGCGGAGGCGUUCAAAGGUUCGUUCGAUCUGGACGGAAACCAGAUGAUUGAGUGCAAACGCAUAAACGAGCCUGACUGCGAGACUGACGGGUCGAGCAGAGACGAAAGUCGGAGUUAGUGAUCCGGUGGUAUGUGAGUGGAAAUGCCAUCGCUCAACGGAUAAAAGUUACCCUGGGAUAACAGGCUGAUCUCCCCCAAGAGUCCACAUCGACGGGGAGGUUUGGCACCUCGAGUCGGCUCAUCGCAUCCUGGGGCUGAAUUCGGUCCCAAGGGUUUGGCUGUUCGCCAAUUAAAGCGGUACGCGAGCUGGGUUCAGAACGUCGUGAGACAGUUCGGUCCCUAUCUGUCGUGGGCGCAGGAUAUUUGAAAGGCGCUGUCCCUAGUACGAGAGGACCGGGAUGGACGAACCUCUGGUGCACCAGUUGUCACGCCAGUGGCACAGCUGGGCAGCUAUGUUCGGAUCGGAUAAACGCUGAAAGCAUCUAAGCGUGAAGCCGGCCUUAAGAUAAGAUAUCCCACUGAGUCAAUCAGGUAAGACCCCUUGAAGACUACAAGGUUGAUAGGCACACAGUGUAAGCGGAGUGAUCCGUUCAGCUAGCGUGUACUAAUAGGUCGAGGGCUUGACCG